rnacentral:lncRNA from 1 species
AUAGUGGGCGGGGCCUUGCGUCUUGACGGCUGCUCCCCUCCUUUCCUCCCGCCACAAGCGCUCGCUGUGGUUCUGGCAGCGAAGUGCGAGACUGGGCUCGCCAGGCGGAAGUGGUUGGAGACUGCGUGUUUUCCUAGAAAGUCCUCGACCUUCGUCGGGGAGAGGAGGGGAGUGAUAAAUUGGAAGGCGGACAAGCGACAAGUGCGGUACUGGAAAGACCCAAACAUACUUGGUUGUGACCUCAGGACUCAAUAAAAUAAACAGCUGGAAAUAAGCAGACUAGUGUAAGAGUGAAUUGAAAAGAAAACCCAAGGUCACAUCUCCCAAGAAGCAGUAAUGUUCCAGCAAUAAGAAAAGGACAGUUUUUUGUCUUUUGCAUGGUGAGCCUUAUAUGAAUUACAUCAAUUUUGUCACCAAUAUCCAUCAUCAGAACAUUUUGGGAUUUGAUUUAGGACAAAUUGUUAUUUGGAUGGAUGCUUGUCUAUUGAGAGAGUAAUUGUUAAACUAAAGGAAACUGGUCACAAAUACUUUAGCAGUGGCUAUAAAUGACCAGUGGGCCAAGGAUUUUGAGAUCGUGAGAGACUUCUCCGGGAAUGUUGUCAUUCAUUUCACUCCAGUGUGGCUCUUUUCCUCCAUCUGCGCUCACUUUUCUAGGAGAACUAUGGCCACUAUGGAGAAUAUGAAAACAUUGCUGAAGGAGGUGAAAGCCAUUUCAGAAGAAGAGUUAUAUAUUAGCUUUUGGCAGUGACAGCGUUAUGGGCACGGACAUUCAGCCUUUCCAGUUGACUGCUUUGAAGGGGCAAUGUUCACGUGGAAGUAUACCUCCUAGUACGUUUGCUAAAAUAAAAUCAGCUUCAUUACCUAAUAACAUAAAUGACUUUGGGAGAAAA